UACGUAGGGGGCAAGCGUUGUCCGGAAUUAUUGGGCGUAAAGCGCGCGCAGGCGGCGACUUAAGUCUGGAGUAUAAGCCCGGGGCUCAACCCCGGAUCGCUCUAGAAACUGGGUGGCUUGAGUGCAGGAGAGGGAAGCGGAAUUCCACGUGUAGCGGUGAAAUGCGUAGAGAUGUGGAGGAACACCAGUGGCGAAGGCGGCUUCCUGGCCUGUAACUGACGCUGAGGCGCGAAAGCGUGGGGAGCAAACAGGAUUAGAAACCCUCGUAGUCC
rnacentral:rRNA from 1 species